rnacentral:rRNA from 1 species
GGCGGGACCNAACAGCCAGUCGCGUGAAGGAAGAAGGAUCUAUGGUUCGUAAACUUCUUUUGNNGGGGAAUAAAGUGCAGGACGUGUCCUGUUUUGUAUGUACCCUGAGAAUAAGGAUCGGCUAACUCCGUGCCAGCAGCCGCGGUAAUACGGAGGAUCCGAGCGUUAUCCGGAUUUAUUGGGUUUAAAGGGUGCGUAGGUGGUUUGAUAAGUCAGCGGUGAAAGUUUGCAGCUUAACUGUAAAAAUGCCGUUGAAACUGUCGGACUUGAGUGUAAAUGAGGUAGGCGGAAUGCGUGGUGUAGCGGUGAAAUGCAUAGAUAUCACGCAGAACUCCGAUUGCGAAGGCAGCUUACUAAGCUACAACUGACACUGAAGCACGAAAGCGUGGGGAUCAAACAGGAUUAGAUACCCUGGUAGUCCACGCAGUAAACGAUGAUUACUAGCUGUUUGCGAUACACAGUAAGCGGCACAGCGAAAGCGUUAAGUAAUCCACCUGGGGAGUACGCCGGCAACGGUGAAACUCAAAGGAAUUGACGGGGGCCCGCACAAGCGGAGGAACAUGUGGUUUAAUUCGAUGAUACGCGAGGAACCUUACCCGGGUUUGAACGUAGGGAGACAGGGGUGGAAACAUCCUUUUCAGCAAUGACUGCCUACGAGGUGCUGCAUGGUUGUCGUCAGCUCGUGCCGUGAGGUGUCGGCUUAAGUGCCAUAACGAGCGCAACCCUUAUUUCCAGUUACUAACAGGUGAUGCUGAGGACUCUGGAGAGACUGCCAGCGUAAGCUGUGAGGAAGGUGGGGAUGACGUCAAAUCAGCACGGCCCUUACAUCCGGGGCGACACACGUGUUACAAUGGUAAGGACAAAGGGCAGCUACCGGGCGACCGGAUGCGAAUCUCUAAACCUUAUCUCAGUUCGGAUCGGAGUCUGCAACUCGACUCCGUGAAAGCUGGGAUUC